UACGUAGGGGGCUAGCGUUGUCCGGAUUUAUUGGGCGUAAAGCGCGCGUAGGUGGCUUCGUAAGUCCGUUGUGAAAGUCAAAGGCUCAACCUUUGAAAGCCGAUGGAUACUGCGGAGCUAGAGUACGGAAGAGGCGAGUGGAAUUCCUGGUGUAGCGGUGGAAUGCGCAGAUAUCAGGAGGAACACCAAUAGCGAAGGCAGCUCGCUGGGACGUUACUGACACUGAGGCGCGAAAGCGUGGGGAGCGAACAGG
rnacentral:rRNA from 1 species